CUCUGUCUAUGGAGUAGCCAUUCUUUUAUUCGAAUACUUUACUCUCCUAACAAACUUGCUUUCAUUUUACUCUACAGACUCACCCUGAAUUCUUUCUUGCACUUGCUCUAAGAACCCUCUCUUGGGGUCUGGAUCCGGACCGCUUUCUGCUAACACUUCUACAUACCACGUUUAUUUGAGACAGAAAAAUACAGCAAGGACAUCCAUCUAAACUUUGUCUGGAGUCUGGGCCCAGGGGAGCUGCAGUACAUGGAGGGUCUCUGGAAGUGGGUAUGGCAGAUUAGCGCCUAAGCUCAACUGGCUUUCCUCCUCUGCCUCUGUUCCUGGGACUUGCUCACGGCUCACAAGGUAGCUUCCCACUGUCAGUCCAUCAGCAACAGCCAGUUAGAGUCGAUUGGGUGUGAGAAGCGAGACUAUUCAUAAGCAGCCUGUCCCCUGUGCCACUGGCUUAUUAAGCAGAGCUAGGCAUAGACAGCUGGGAACUCUGGGCAGCUCCUUUAAAUUUCUCUUUGAAGAAUGUUAAGUAUUCACCAGCAGUGAAGGUUACAAAGGCUGAAGUUUUCUCUCCACCCCCAGCAUUUCCCAGGGGAGUAAAAGGAAGGAUCAAAGCUACAAUGGGCUUGGCUGCCCUUCUCCAGGAAUGGCCAGAGGACAACUUCUGCUUGGAAAGUUCCUGGAUACUUCUGGAACAGAAUUCUCCUGGGGUGAGUGGUUCACACAACUGACCCACUUCAUCCCCACUCAGCAAAAUGAGAGCGCCGUUGACUGACAACAAAAUGCUGAACUGGAAACCUCCGCAGUAAAACGUGAUGCAGAACAGAGAAAGAACUAAGAUGUUCUGCACAGACGGUAUCAUGCCCUCUAUGAGGAAACUACUCGAGCAUAUCUGUGUUUCAAAUGAUGUCUUUGAACUAUUUAUGUUAAAUGCCCCCCCAAAAAAAUGGAAAGGCUUCUUCGUAGAGGAAAGAGCUUGAAGUUGCUAGGCUGUUCUGCCUUCAACAGGCAUUUAUUGUGCAGCUACAAAAUGCUGCACCAAGCACUGGGCAGUGGAAAGGUGAUUCAGACACAGUUCCUUUGACAAAACCUCAAAAUCCCAUGUGAAGUUCUCUUUUAUAAAGUAAAUCAGAAAAGAUUCAAAAGUUGAGGUACCAAAAAAAAAUAAUAUAAAUGCAAGUAGUAAAGCGCUAUUGACUGUAAAUAGAAGCACUUAAUAAGUGGUUGUUGUUUCUGUUCUUCUCUCUAAUAAGUGUAUACAGGUGGCUAAAUGCUUUUGUUGAGCUAUGAGUACCUCAUUCUGUGGAGUGACUCAGAAAGUCUCUAGGUGUUAGACUGGAAACAGGUGAUGUUCAGUGCACGCAAUGCUUGAAGUGUUCCCAGGUAUUUAGUUUCAGGUAAAUUUUACUGUUUAAAAAAAUUGUUUUUACUUGCUAUUAAGUGUGUUGACCUUGGAUAAUUUACUUAACCUCUCUAUGCCUUGCUUCCUUUUCUGCAAAAUGAGAGUAAGAAAAGUGCUUACCUCAUUGGCUUUUUGUGAAAUUCAAUGAGUUAACACGUGGGAGAAAAGAUGUUUUUAAAUAAUCAAUUCUUAGCAGUUGGUCAUUGUUAUGAGUUACAUCAUGCGUAGUUAAAUAUUUUUUAAAAAAUUAAAAUUUAUUUUCCUAUAGG
rnacentral:lncRNA from 1 species